GUGUUGAAUUAAAGGACAGAAGAAGAACCGGUGUGGUUGUUGUUUGUUGUUGUUGUUGUUGUUGUUGUUGUUCUGUCCCAGCAGCAGGUCGACUCUGGACCCUCAGGACCACAUGGAGCCGCUCAGUUCACGGGCUCUGGACCGGAUUUACUCUGUGGUCCUGCUGGGCCUGGUGGUCCUGUCCUGGUCCUACGUGAUCUACGCCAGCAGGGUCGCAGCUGAUUGGCUGCUGGAGAGWAGGACCGCCCCCCUGCCAGGAGCCUGACGGCCCACCUGAGACCUGCAGGUCUGGAUCUGGAACACCUGUCAGCCCGGAGGAACACGAGUCCUGGUUCAGUUCUGGUCCAGAUGCUCCGCCUUCAUCCUGACCCAUCAUCAUCAUCAUCAUCAUCAUCAUCAUCAUCAUGGUCCUGCUGCCUCAUGAUGAAGCUCUGCAGGAAACAAAGGUGGACAUUUGAUCCUACAACCUGCUGAAAACCAGAACCGUGGGUUCUGCUCCUCCUCACUGUGACCCAACUGGACCUGUGUGUUCUGACAGCCGGCCCGCUGGACCACUGGACCACUGGACCACCUGCUUCAUCUGUAACCUGUGCAGGUUUUAUGUGUUCAUCAGGAAACUGAAAGACUGAAGGACCUGCUGCUGAUCCUGGUCCUGGUCCUGGUCCAGGUCCUGGUUGAGCCGGUCCUAAAGCCUGCAGUAAAACAGAUUGUGUGUUAAAACAAAUCUGCAACAUGUAACCUGUGUGUGUGUCUGAAACAAACUCUGUCAGACGUUAAAAUAAAUAAAACUCUUCAGAAACUCUUCA